rnacentral:rRNA from 1 species
UACGUAGGGGGCAAGCGUUGUCCGGAAUCAUUGGGCGUAAAGAGCGUGUAGGCGGCCCGAUAAGUCCGCUGUGAAAGUCCAGGGCUCAACCCUGGAAUGCCAGUGGAAACUGUCGGGCUAGAGUACGGAAGAGGCGAGUGGAAUUCCUGGUGUAGCGGUGAAAUGCGCAGAUAUCAGGAGGAACACCGGUGGCGAAGGCGGGUCUCUGGGCCGAUACUGACGCUGAGGAGCGAAAGCGUGGGGAGCAAACAGG